GGGGAUGUAGCUCAGUGGUAGAGCUCUUGCCUAGAAUGCAUGAGGCCCUGGGUUCCAUCCCUCGUACCACCA
rnacentral:tRNA from 1 species